CGUGAGUCAACAGUUUAGUCAACAGUUGCUGAGUUGAAGAGAAUCUUCUAGAGCGCCAGCUUAGCAGCUUUCACCGGUGGGCUUAGGUUUCUGGUGAAGAUGCGCUAGCGCCGUGGUUCUCAACUCCUUUAAGGCAGUGGUCUCCCCUUGAGACUUCUGCUCUGCGCUUCAGAGUCAGCACAAGGAGAUCUUGAUUAUGCAGUGAGCAUUCUGAACAUUACCCAGUCAAGGCAGGAGAUACCUGUGAAUGUGACCAUAUUGGAAGAUGAAGUACUGUGUGUGUCAGCAAGCAAAGCCAUUCACAUGAAUGAAGAGUCAUAUACGAAAGACCAUCUUUCAGAAUUGUGGGUUCAAAUCAAUGUCUGUCUUGUUCCUGAGCCCAAGGGUUUCUCAGCCUUUACUAGGUCAUCACACAGAGUGGUAAGAGUGGGAUGAGAGAAGCAUCUCUGAAGUUAGAAAAAGCAAACCGUGUUUCUAUCCUAAAUUUCUGAGGCUUCCUGCCAUGAAUAGAUAACUCCUCUGAGGACAUCAGCAUUUAAAGCACAAGGAAGCAAAGACUGUUGUCAGACCCAGCUUGCUAACUUUCCUCUUCCCAAACUGGCCAGUUUGCAUCUCUUAAUCCACUGAGCUUCAAACUGAGGCUCCACAGUAGGCUUGGUCUGCUUUUGUUUGCUUAGGGCAGAGACUUUCAAACAUAGAGCAAAUGUCCAUAAAGAUAUUUCACUGGAAAGUGGACUUAGUUUCUCCUCAUGUUUGUUCUUAUUCCUUAUGGAUCUAAAGUGAUUCAGUUUUGUAACAGCGGAUUUUGAGAUUGA